CCGUGCAGGCCAGCCACCAUGAACUACUUUCGCUCAGUCCCUCCGAUCAUUCUGUGGUGCGAUAUACCAACAAUUCGCUAAUAGUCCAAUGUCGUAGCUCAACAUCAGAAGCGCAGUUGGUGUGGAAGUCGCCGAAGGGAGAAAUAAUUAAGGAGCACAAAGGACGUAUACACAUCGAGCAAAGCGCGCCAGAACAAUUGACAAUUGUUUUUCUACACAUUUCACUCGGCGACAAGGGCAAGUGGACGUGCGAAGAUGCCAAUGGCGACAGAGCGGAAAAGUCUUUCGAUCUCAUUGUCUACCAAAAAAUUGCUUUCGCUGAAAAUUUCACCAUUCUUACGGUAAAGGAAGGCAAGGAUGCAUUCAUACGUUGCGAAGUGAAAGGCGAACCACAACCAAAUGUCACCUGGCACUACAAUGGGCAGCCAAUUAUUGUUGAAACAUUUACAGGCAACUCAACGAAAUUUCAGAUUCUGGCUGAUGGAUUACAGGUCCGCAAGGUAACGCAGAACGACACCGGCG